rnacentral:rRNA from 1 species
CAGACGGGAGAGUCAACGUGGGAAAAAACCCUUCGGUUCGGAAUAACCCAGGGAAACUUGGGCUAAUAUUGGCUACGUCCGUAAGGAGAAAGAUUUAUCGCCGAGGGAUCGGCCCGCGUCCGAUUAGCUAGUUGGUGAGGUAAUGGCUCACCAAGGCGACGAUCGGUAGCUGGUCUGAGAGGAUGAUCAGCCUCACUGGGACUGAGACACGGCCCAGACUCCUACGGGAGGCAGCAGUGGG